rnacentral:piRNA from 1 species
UAAAGCAGGACAGGUACUGACCAGG